GUCUCCAUCGACUAGUGGUUAAGUCAUCGGUCUCAUAGCGAUAUGAUCGGUUGUAAACAACUGAGCGAUCCGGAAAGCGGAGUUCGAUUCUCCGUGGGGACA
rnacentral:tRNA from 1 species